UGUCUCGUUAAAAAUAAAUUAAAAUUAAUUCAUUACUUUCAUUUUUUUAUAUAAAUUACCUUAAAAAAUAUUUUUAAUACUUAAAAAAAUUUUUUCCAAAACAAUUAAGAAAAAAUGCAUAAAUUUUUCCUGUUUGUGUGAUACGAACCUCGUAUCUUAUUGUGUUUGGUAAUAGGUGGAAUAAUAGAUGUUACAAACUUAACAAUACUGCCUAAGACAAAAGGCAGUAAGCGACAAAAUUAUUUUAAAAUGUCUGCUCUUGUUUUUGAUAACCAAAUUAACCAAAUUGUUAUCGAAAUAUCACCUUAGUGUAAAGUUUAGAUUUAGCUGUAUCCAUCACUCUUACAGUUAUUUAUAUUACAUUACGUAGCUACAUUCAAUAUUUCUAUGUAACUUUAAAUAAUGUAUCGGUCAUGAGCGGCAAAAUUAAAAAUUGUAAAUGUCGCGGUACAUGAGAAAACUGAUGAAGGUAGUAAUAAGAAAGAUUCUAUCAAAAGAAAUACCUUCACUGGCAAUAAUUUACCUCAAAUUAAUAAUAAAUCGUUUAUUAGUUCAACUGUAUUAAAAUAGAUACCAUUCACAGAGAUGUUUUUACCAGCAAUGAUUUACCUUUAUGGGGAAAAAAUAUUGAACACAAAUUGUAUUGUAUCACAACUGAAAUUUCAUCGUACUCCAUGAUUGAUGACUCAGACAAAGAUAAAGAUUAUGUAUUAUCUGGUGAAAAUAAGAGCAACUUGGAAAAUUUCGGUAUAGAAAUUGAUAUGGACUCAAUAGAUGAACUUCAUUCAGAUAAUGAUAAAAAUGUUGUAUUUUUGAUUGACUAUUUAUGUGAAACAGUUUGCCAAGAAAAUAUAAGUAUUGAAAAUCUAUCAAUUCAAAAAGAAACUUCACGUUAACCAUUACCAAUAAUUAUAACCAAUAGUGAAACAGAAUAUUCACUUGAUCAAUACACUAAGUGUGAGAAGCAAAGGAAACAUAAAAAAUCCAAACAUAAUGUCAUAGA